rnacentral:rRNA from 2 species
UCUGAUGGAGCACGCCGCGUGAGUGAAGAAGGGUUUCGGCUCGUAAAACUCUGUUGUUAGAGAAGAACAGCCGUGAGAGCAACUGCUCACGGUAUGACGGUAUCUAACCAGAAAGUCACGGCUAACUACGUGCCAGCAGCCGCGGUAAUACGUAGGUGGCAAACGUUGUCCGGAUUUAUUGGGCGUAAAGGGAGCGCAGGCGGUUUAUUAAGUCUGAUGUGAAAGCCUUCGGCUUAACCGGAGAAGUGCAUCGGAAACUGAUAAACUUGAGUGCAGAAAAGGAUAGUGGAACUUCAUGUGUAGCGGUGAAAUGCGUAGAUAUAUGAAGGAACACCAGUGGCGAAGGCGGCUAUCUGGUCUGUAACUGACGCUGAGGCUCGAAAGCAUGGGUAGCAAACAGGAUUAGAUACCCUGGUAGUCCAUGCCGUAAACGAUGAAUGCUAGGUGUUGGAAGGUUUCCGCCUUUCAGUGCCGCAGCUAACGCAUUAAGCAUUCCGCCUGGGGAGUACGACCGCAAGGUUGAAACUCAAAGGAAUUGACGGGGACCCGCACAAGCGGUGGAGCAUGUGGUUUAAUUCGAUGCUACGCGAAGAACCUUACCAGGACUUGACAUCUUCUGCCAAUCUAAGAGAUUAGACGUUCCCUUCGGGGACAGAAUGACAGGUGGUGCAUGGUUGUCGUCAGCUCGUGUCGUGAGAUGUUGGGUUAAGUCCCGCAACGAGCGCAACCCUUGUCUUUAGUUGCCAGCAUUAAGUUGGGCACUCUAGAGAGACUGCCGGUGAUAAACCGGAGGAAGGUGGGGAUGACGUCAAAUCAUCAUGCCCCUUAUGUCCUGGGCUACACACGUGCUACAAUGGGCGAUACAACGAGUUGCGAAACCGCGAGGUCAA